AUGAACGCUAGCGGCAGGCUUAACACAUGCAAGUCGAGGGGCAGCAUGGAGUAGCAAUACUCUGAUGGCGACCGGCGAAAGGGUGAGUAACGCGUGAGCAACAUGCCCGUAGGUGGAGGGAUAGUCAUUGGAAACGAUGCGUAAUACUCCGUAACACAAGAGACCGCAUGAUCUUUUGUUGAUAGAUUCAUUGCCUACGGAUUGGCUCGCGUACCAUUAGGUAGUUGGUGAGGUAACGGCCCACCAAGCCGACGAUGGUUAGGGGUUCUGAGAGGAAGGUCCCCACAUUGGAACUGAGACACGGUCCAGACUCCUACGGGAGGCAGCAGUGAGGAAUAUUGGUCAAUGGCCGAAAGGCUGAACCAGCCAUGCCGCGUGCGGGAAGACGGCCCUAUGGGUUGUAAACCGCUUUUGAGUGGGAGCAAUAAGGUCCACGUGUGGAUUGAUGAGAGUACCAUUCGAAUAAGCAUCGGCUAACUCCGUGCC
rnacentral:rRNA from 1 species